GAGGGGUGCAAACGUUGUUCGGAAUUACUGGGCGUAAAGAGUACAUAGACGGCCUGAUAAGCUUGUCGUUAAAUUCUCCGGCUUAACCGGAGGCGAGCGGCGAGAACUGUUUGGCUAGAGGGUGGAAGAGAGAAGUGGAAUUCCCGGAGUAGCGGUGAAAUGCGUAGAUCUCGGGAGGAACACCGAUGGCGAAGGCAGCUUCUUGGUCCACACCAGACGUUGAGGUACGAGAGCGCGGGGAGCAAACAGGAUUAGAUACCCUGGUAGUCCGCGCCGUAAACGAUGACUACUGAACGUUGGGCAGGCAUUUAUGUCUGUUCAGUGUUGCAGCUAACGCGGUAAGUAGUCCGCCUGGGGAGUACGGUCGCAAGGCUA
rnacentral:rRNA from 1 species